CGUGGCGGAGGUGGGGCUGGCUGGAGUCCGCAGCGCAGGACAAGGGAGGUGAGGCCGGGCUCGGCUGGGCAGCAGCGAUGGGAUCGCUGGGAUCUGCUAAGGAUGUGUGCGACUGGGCAGGGGGCUGUGCUGCAGAUUUCGGUGAUGCGUGCGCGGGGGGACUGGGCUUGGUAGGACAGCGAUGUAGCCUAGGUGGACAAUAAAACGAUCCCCAGACCGACCUGUAUGGACCGCAGGAAGGAAGAGCCGCUGGCAGAGGCAGCAGCGACGAGGUCGAUGUCGAGGUGCGCGGUGGGGCGAUCUGGAAGGGUAUGUGAGGCCGUGCGCGGUGGGCUGGUGAGAGGCCGGUCUGGCUGGGCAGCUGCUGCUGGGAUCGGCGCAGGUUGCUGGUAGGUGCAAGUCUGGAGGCUGAGGCGUGGACGAGGCCGAUCUAGAUCAGA
rnacentral:lncRNA from 1 species